CUGGGAAUGGGCAACAGGGGGUGGAUCAUUUGAUGAUUACCUGUUCUGUUCAUUCCCUCUGGGGCACCUGGCAUUGGCCGCUGUCAGAAGACAGGAUACUGGGCUAGAUGGACCUUUGAGCUGACCCAAUGUGGCCGUACUUAUGUAUAUUAUUAAUUUAAA